AGCAGCCGCGGUAAUUCCAGCUCCAAUAGCGUAUAUUAAAGUUGUUGCAGUUAAAAAGCUCGUAGUUGAAUUUCGGGAUCAAUACGUCGGUCGUGCUUUCGGGUACGUACUGGCGUCAUUGGUUUCUCCUUUCUGACGAACCAUGAUGUCAUUAAUUUGGUGUUAUGGGGAGUUAGGACUGUUACUUUGAAAAAAUUAGAGUGUUUAAAGCAAGCUAACGCUUGAAUACAUUAGCAUGGAAUAAUGAAAUAGGACGUUCGAUCCUAUUUUGUUGGUUUCUAGGAUUGACGUAAUGAUUAAUAGGGAUAGUUGGGGGCAUUAGUAUUCAAUUGUCAGAGGUGAAAUUCUUGGAUUUAUUGAAGACUAACUACUGCGAAAGCAUUUGCCAAGGAUGUUUCUAUUAAUCAAGAACGAAAGUUAGGGGAUCGAAGACGAUCAGAUACCGUCGUAGUCUUAACCAUAAACUAUGCCGACUAGGGAUCGGAUGAUAGUUUAAUUUUUAAUGACUCAUUCGGCGCCG
rnacentral:rRNA from 1 species